rnacentral:rRNA from 1 species
GAUGAACGCUGGCGGCGUGCCUAAUACAUGCAAGUCGAGCGAACAGACGAGGAGCUUGCUCCUCUGACGUUAGCGGCGGACGGGUGAGUAACACGUGGAUAACCUACCUAUAAGACUGGGAUAACUUCGGGAAACCGGAGCUAAUACCGGAUAAUAUAUUGAACCGCAUGGUUCAAUAGUGAAAGACGGUUUUGCUGUCACUUAUAGAUGGAUCCGCGCCGCAUUAGCUAGUUGGUAAGGUAACGGCUUACCAAGGCAACGAUGCGUAGCCGACCUGAGAGGGUGAUCGGCCACACUGGAACUGAGACACGGUCCAGACUCCUACGGGAGGCAGCAGUAGGGAAGCUUCCGCAAUGGGCGAAAGCUUGACGGAGCAACGCCGCGUGAGUGAUGAAGGUCUUCGGAUCGUAAAACUCUGUUAUUAGGGAAGAACAAAUGUGUAAGUAACUAUGCACGUCUUGACGGUACCUAAUCAGAAAGCCACGGCUAACUACGUG